rnacentral:rRNA from 1 species
CCUACGGGAGGCUGCAGUGAGGAAUAUUGGUCAAUGGGCGGAAGCCUGAACCAGCCAAGUAGCGUGCGGGAUGACUGCCCUACGGGUUGUAAACCUCUUUUGCACGGGGAUAACACCCUCCACGUGUGGACGUCUGCAGGUACCGUGCGAAUAAGGCCUGGCAAAUUCCGUGACAGCAGCCGCGGUAAUACGGGAGGCGCGAGCGUUAUCCGGAUUAAUUGGGGUUAAAGGGGUCGUAGGGGGGAGUGCCAGUUAGCGGUAAAAUUCUGGGGCUAAACCGCCCCCCGCAGUUGAAACUGGACGCCGUGAGUGCACGAGAGGCAGGCGGAAUGCGUGGUGUAGCGGUGAAAUGCAUAGAUAUCACGAGGAACCCCGAUUGCGAAGGCAGCCUACCGGGGUGCGACUGACGCUGAGGCUCGAAAGUGCGGGUAUCAAACAGGAUUAGAUACCCCUGUAGUC